UAAGACAGAGGGGGCAAGCGUUGUCCGGACUGACUGGGCGUAAAGCGCGCGCAGGCGGUGCGGGGCGUCGGUGCUGAAAUCGGGCCGCUUAACGGCCCGCGGCGUGCCGAUACGCCCGUACUGGAGGGUGGGCGAGGGUGGUGGAAUUGCCGGUGUAGUGGUGAAAUGCGUAGAGAUCGGCAGGAACACCCGUGGCGAAAGCGGCCACCUAGCCCGCACCUGACGCUGAUGCGCGACAGCGUGGGGAGCGAACUGGAUUAGAUACCCAGGUAGUCCACGCCGUAAACGAUGCCGACUCGGUAUCCGGCUGGCGAUAAGCCGGCGGGGUGCCCCAGCUUACGCGGUAAGUCGGCCGCCUGGGGACUACGAGCGCAAGCUUA
rnacentral:rRNA from 1 species